CCAUUCACCGGGACCGAAGCCUGGACAAGAUCGGUCGGAUAUGAGAUAGUGGAUGAAUGGAGGCCAUGGACUUCCAAUGGACAAGUUGCAGGGUAUUUGCAAGGUUAUGACCACAACCUGACCUUUUUAACCAUAAAGGGAGCAGGACACACAGUCCCAGAAUAUAAACCUCAAGAGGCCUUGGAUUUUUACACCAGAUUCCUUGCAGGGAAACCUAUAUGAAACAAAUUUUCUUCUAAUUUUUAAAUUAUAAUUGCAUGUUGAUGAUAGGUUAUUCACAUAAUUUCUAAAAUUGCAUGUUGUUU